GGAUUGCAAAGCUUUCUGGUGGUGUGGCUGUCAUCAAGGUUGGGGCUGCAACUGAGACUGAGCUUGAGGACCGCCAACUACGUAUCGAGGAUGCGAAGAAUGCAACUUUCGCAGCUAUUGAGGAGGGCAUUGUUCCUGGAGGUGGUACAGCGUAUGUGCAUCUUUCAACUACCGUCCCUGCGAUCAAAGAAACAAUCGAAGACCAUGAUGAGCGCCUUGGUGCAGACAUUAUUCAAAAGGCGUUGGUAGCUCCCGCUUCACUGAUUGCCCACAAUGCUGGAGUGGAAGGGGAAGUGGUAGUUGAGAAGAUCAAGGACGGCGAGUGGG
rnacentral:misc_RNA from 1 species